rnacentral:rRNA from 1 species
UUCAGAGGGGGACAACAGUUGGAAACGACUGCUAAUACCGCAUACGAUCCAAUCUCGGCAUCGAGGAUGGAUGAAAGGUGGCCUCUAUUUAUAAGCUAUCACUGAAGGAGGGGAUUGCGUCUGAUUAGCUAGUUGGAGGGGUAACGGCCCACCAAGGCGAUGAUCAGUAGCCGGUCUGAGUGGAUGAACGGCCACAUUGGGACUGAGACACGGCCCAGACUCCUACGGGAGGCAGCAGUGGGGAAUCUUCCGCAAUGGACGAAAGUCUGACGGAGCAACGCCGCGUGAGUGAUGACGGCCUUCGGGUUGUAAAGCUCUGUUAAUCGGGACGAAAGGCCUUCUUGCGAAUAGUUAGAAGGAUUGACGGUACCGGAAUAGAAAGCCACGGCUAACUACGUGCCAGCAGCCGCGGUAAUACGUAGGUGGCAAGCGUUGUCCGGAAUUAUUGGGCGUAAAGCGCGCGCAGGCGGAUUGGUCAGUCUGUCUUAAAAGUUCGGGGCUUAACCCCGUGAUGGGAUGGAAACUGCCAAUCUAGAGUAUCGGAGAGGAAAGUGGAAUUCCUAGUGUAGCGGUGAAAUGCGUAGAUAUUAGGAAGAACACCAGUGGCGAAGGCGACUUCCUGGACGAAAACUGACGCUGAGGCGCGAAAGCCAGGGGAGCGAACGGGAUUAGAUACCCCGGUAGUCCUGGCCG